GGGGAAUAUUGCGCAAUGGGGGCAACCCUGACGCAGCCAUGCCGCGUGAAUGAAGAAGGCCUUCGGGUUGUAAAGUUCUUUCGGUAGCGAGGAAGGCAUUUAGUUUAAUAGACUAGGUGAUUGACAUUAACUACAGAAGAAGCACCGGCUAACUCCGUGCCAGCAGCCGCGGUAAUACGGAGGGUGCGAGCGUUAAUCGGAAUAACUGGGCGUAAAGGGCACGCAGGCGGUGACUUAAGUGAGGUGUGAAAGCCCCGGGCUUAACCUGGGAAUUGCAUUUCAUACUGGGUCGCUAGAGUACUUUAGGGAGGGGUAGAAUUCCACGUGUAGCGGUGAAAUGCGUAGAGAUGUGGAGGAAUACCGAAGGCGAAGGCAGCCCCUUGGGAAUGUACUGACGCUCAUGUGCGAAAGCGUGGGGAGCAAACAGGAUUAGAUACCCUGGUAGUCCACGCUGUAAACGAUGUCGAUUUGGGGGUUGAACUUUAAGUUUGGCGCCCGUAGCUAACGUGAUAAAUCGACCGCCUGGGGAGUACGGCCGCAAGGUUA
rnacentral:rRNA from 1 species